AAAAAAGAAAUUAAUAGAAGAAAAAACCACAAUCUCCGUCGUCAAUCUUUGAACCCUUUCUCGCUCCUAUCUCUGUCUCUCUUUAUAUUCUGACUGUUUCUCCAUUACAGUCUCUAUGCAAAGAAGACGAAAGCAAUAAUAAUAAUCAUCAGACAACAACCAAAUCUCAGAGAAUUGAAAGAUUAAUUAGUGAAUUUGAGGGUUCUCUUUAUUAGGGUUUGGAAGAGAUCUGUGAGUUAGGGUAUGUAUGAAGAAACUUGAGUUCUUAGUUAAACAUCUAGGUUUUUUCCAAUUAGUUUAUAGAAGACAGAGAGAAAGUGAUUGAAGAAAUGCAACAGAGAAAACUGACAGAAGAGAGUGAGCACAUGCAGGCACUGUUAUGUGUCUAUAACUUUGCGUGUGCGUGCUCACCUCUCUUUCUGUCAGUUGCCUAUACCUCUUCUUGCUUCUCUCUCUUCUCUCACUCUCUCUCUUCUCACUCUUAUCUUCUACAUCAUUUGCCUUCUUAUCAUCUAUUUUGUUGUGCACUUGGCUGGUUAUAGAUAAAUUAAUGCGUUUAGAUAAAUUAGUUAUGUGUUGUUUUUUCUAUUCUAUAUUCUGUUGAAGUGGGUGCUUGCUUACGCAUGACAACGUUUGUUUUUAAGCUCUUUUGUAGAAGUUUGGUGGAGAAAAGCUCUAUUUUUUAUAGUUGGGGUUUGUAAAUAAUAGAGUAAAUGUAUAUAUUGUUAAGUGUGCUAUCUAUGGUUGAUUUCUUCGAGUGGAUCUAGGGAAAGCGCGAGUUUUGAUGAUCAUGAACCCCAACCGGUUAAUUUGUACGGAUUAAUGCUGGAUGGCAUUGAAUUCUCUCUUGGAUUUAAUGUGAUCCGGUUUCUUCCUUUUGCUUCUGAAUUUUGUUAGAAAAUAGACUUUGUUGCUUUGUUUUGGUAUUUUCUGGUGACAAAUGUUGUUUUCUAUGGAAUGGUGGAUCUAAUAUGGUGCCAAAAUGAGGUAAAAAAUGUUAUCUUCUACUGAAGUUGUUUAUCUUAUGCUGCCAAAUUAAAGGAGGUUUAAAACUCUUAUUUUCUACUGAAAUGAUUGAUCUAUUUAAGUUUCAGAACUGGCCAUAUUUUCAUCUGACGUUAUUCUUUUAGUUAGUUUUUCUUAUGAUCAAAAUCAAUUACUUUGUUAUGUAGACGCCUAGCUAGUUUUGAAGUGAUUUUUCUUAGUAUGCUUUGAUUACUAAAUGUAUUAUAUAACUGGUUCAAGCAAAGGAAUGAGCUGGUUUUCCUUUUUUAGUUUCUUUUAGAAUGUUGUUUCUUGAAUAAGUAACACAAGUAAGGAGCAAUUCUGCUAAUUUAUGUCAAGCAACCAUACAGGUAAGUAACGUCUUUGUGUUCUGUUUGAAGAAAUCAAAUUGUGAACAGGUCUCUAGUUACUGAUGUCGAAUGUGCUUCACCUUGAAAUCCACAAAUGAAGUCAUGAAAUUAGAUAACAGUGGAGAUGAACAAAUACUAAAAUGUUGGUAUUAAUAUCAAGUGGGAAGACAUUUCAAGAAUACCUUUAUCUAAUUCCAACUUUGGAAGUGUAGAAUCAGGUAAGUCAAUUAUAUAUGUAAGAAUGUAGAAUUACUAGCCAACUUAAUUGGAGAUUUCUAGCUUGAUGAUUGUGAAGAACAUCUAGAUCAUUAGCUCUGUUUGCUUCCAUUUUUGAUUUUAUAUAUACUAUGUGUCAUGUGAGAUUGAUAUGUGUUUGUCAUUGUUCAAUCGAUUAAUUACUGAAUUUCACAAUUUAAGAGUUUAUAUAUGGGUUAGUAAUAUAUAUAGAGAGAUUUACGCCGUUUCUCAAGCAUGGUGGAUUCAGUGGCUAGACCUGAAACUAAAUAUUGGAAAAAUUACUUGUUGGCUAAUCUAUUCUUUGAUCACAAAUGCAUCAGUCUAACCUCCUCUUGUCUCUUUGCAUAUGAUAUAAAUAGAGAACAUUUCUGAUGUAUUAUUUAUUUCGUUUCUACAUUUUGUACCCAAGAACUUGAUUCAUGUUGAUGGUGGCAGUAACAAAAGGUUUGUUUUGUGCUC